rnacentral:rRNA from 1 species
UACAGAGGGUGCAAGCGUUAAUCGGAAUUACUGGGCGUAAAGCGAGCGUAGUCGGUUAUUUAAGUCGGGUGUGAAAGCCCCGGGCUCAACCUGGGAAUUGCAUUCGAUACUGGAUAGCUAGAGUUCGGCAGAGGGAAGCGGAAUUUCCGGUGUAGCGGUGAAAUGCGUAGAUAUCAGGAGGAACACCGGUGGCGAAGGCGGGAUCCUGGGCCAGUACUGACGCUGAGGAGCGAAAGCGUGGGGAGCAAACAGG